UGGGGAAUAUUGGACAAUGGGCGAAAGCCUGAUCCAGCAAUGCCGCGUGAGUGAUGAAGGCCUUAGGGUUGUAAAGCUCUUUUACCCGGGAUGAUAAUGACAGUACCGGGAGAAUAAGCUCCGGCUAACUCCGUGCCAGCAGCCGCGGUAAUACGGAGGGAGCUAGCGUUGUUCGGAAUUACUGGGCGUAAAGCGCGCGUAGGCGGUUUUUUAAGUCAGAGGUGAAAGCCCAGUGCUCAACACUGGAACUGCCUUUGAAACUGGAAAACUUGAAUCUUGGAGAGGUCAGUGGAAUUCCGAGUGUAGAGGUGAAAUUCGUAGAUAUUCGGAAGAACACCAGUGGCGAAGGCGACUGACUGGACAAGUAUUGACGCUGAGGUGCGAAAGCGUGGGGAGCAAACA
rnacentral:rRNA from 3 species